GGUGAACGCUGGCGGUAGGCCUAACACAUGCAAGUCGAACGGCAGCACAGUAAGAGCUUGCUCUUACUGGUGGCGAGUGGCGGACGGGUGAGUAAUACAUCGGAAUCUACUUUUUCGUGGGGGAUAUCGUAGGGAAACUUACGCUACUACCGCAUACGUCCUACGGGUUAAAGCAGGGGUUCUUCGGACCUUUCGUGAUUUAAUGAGCUGAUGUCGGAUUGGCUAGUUGGCGGGGUAAAGGCCCACCAAGGCGACGAUCCGUAGCUGGUCUGAGAGGAGGAUCAGCAACACGGGAAAGAGGAAAAGGACCAAAAUCCUAAGGGAGGCAGCAGUGGGAAACAUUGGAGAAGGGGCGGAAGCGUAAUCCGGACAUACGGCGUAGGUGAAGAAGGCCGUCGGGUUGUAAAGCCCUUUUGUUGGGAAAGAAAAACAGCAGGUUAAUACCGCGCUGAUCUGACGGAACCAAAAAAAUAAGCACGGGCUAACUUGGG
rnacentral:rRNA from 1 species